GGGGUUGUGGUUUAAUGGUAGAGCGCUCACCUUGCAUGUGUGAGGCACUGGGUUCGAUACUCAGCACCA
rnacentral:tRNA from 1 species